AGAUUGAACGCUGGCGGCAUGCCUAACACAUGCAAGUCGAACGGGAGUAGCAAUACUCUAGUGGCGGACGGGUGAGGAAUACGUAGGAAUUUGCCCUUAAGUGGGGGAUAACCCGGGGAAACCCGGAUUAAUACCGCAUGACCUCGAAAGAGCAAAGUGGGGGAUCGCAAGACCUCACGCUUUUGGAGAAGCCUACGUCGGAUUAGCUAGUUGGUGAGGUAAUGGCUCACCAAGGCGACGAUCCGUAACUGGUCUGAGAGGAUGAUCAGUCACACCGGAACUGAGACACGGUCCGGACUCCUACGGGAGCAGCAGUGGGGAAUAUUGGACAAGUGGGG
rnacentral:rRNA from 1 species